CGUUUCUGACCAAACGAUGAAAUAGAAGUUCAGUUCAGUUUGUCUCUGAUAUCAGCAGACAUGAGGCCCGGUCCAAACACACAUGUGGUACCAAAACCUCCUGACAGCCUUUUCUCUGCUCUCGCUACACGUCCACAGAGCGACGGACCACAGAGCAGCCGGCUCCCACAGGUCCAGUCGACGUGACGGGCCGUGUGCUUCAGUGUUGGUCUGGACGGAGAAGUUCUGGUUCUGAAGCUCAAGUGGACGAGACGAGAAAACAUCCCGACUGUAACCUGAUAAUGAACAACCUCAACAUUACACAGCAUCGCAAGGGGAGCGCUUCAUUUUUAAUGCUGUCUGGACCCGAGUUCUCCUCGGCUCAUUACGGCCCAGUACCAUUACUGUGUGUGUGUGUGUGUGUGUGUGUGUGUGUGUGUGUGUGUGUGUGUGUGUGUGUGUGUGUGUGUGUGUGUGUGUGUGUGUCCUCUCCUCUAUAUAUUUUCUUCCAGUUUGAUUUGCAUUUGUGAGGAUACUGAUGAUUUAUGCAUGUGGUGCUCUUGUUAUGUGUUUAUCAUAUUCUAUGUGGUGUUUACGUUCUGGAUCUCGUCCUGCUGCAGCUCUGUGAUCCGACUUCAUAUUCCGAUGAAAGAAAAUGUGAAUUUGUUGGAUUCUGUGCUGAUCAGACCCGGACAGAGUGAAUCUGAUCAGCCACAUGUGAAACAGUCCGUCGUGUCCUUGUCGCUGUUUGUGAUCCACUGUGGUUUGUUCUGCACCGGCUGUGCGUGACGGAUCUUCUGUGAUGACAAAAAGAAGAGAUUCAUUUUAGCAAAAAUCACAACGCAGAACACAAUCGUAUGACAUGUUCAGAGGCUCCACAACAAGACGAACAAACCGAUGGCUCUCAGAGCGACGGAGUCUUCUGCUGCCUCGGUUACUCCGUGUUUUUGAGUUGUUGUGACUUUGGUUGAACACGUGAGUUCGGAACUGAAACCCAUAACAGAACCAAAGCCACAGUAAGGUGAAGAUGUACAUAUAUUUAUAUCCUGCGACUGCUUGGAGAAAAUCAUCGCUACGUGUCUGCAAGAUGCACAUGAACAGAACAGUGUGGCGCCACCAUGUGGAGCAGCAGGGCUAACAGCAAGCUAACAUGCUAUCAGUGGUAUCAUGAGGUAACACCUGUGAUAUAUUGUGCGAGUAUAACUGAGUUUCUCUUCAUCUGAACACAUGAUGUUCAUCAGUUAACACGACGGUUAUUAUGUGAUAAAAUAACAAGAAGUCAAACGAUGUGGUGAUAAAUGAAUAAAUAAAUAACUGAGCGAAAUGUUUCUAAAAUGAUGUUUACACUGAAAAUACUGAAGAUCACAAGUGUGAAGAAUCAGUUUUGAGCCCAUCUGAACAAAUGUGAGAAACCAGCAGGUGGAGGAAGGUUGAAGUUCCUCCAGAGAUUCAGUAUCGACACUGCUGAGUGUUAACAUUCAGGAUGAA